rnacentral:rRNA from 1 species
GACGAACGCUGGCGGCGUGCUUAACACAUGCAAGUCGAACGGAGCACCCUUGACUGAGGUUUCGGCCAAAUGAUAGGAAUGCUUAGUGGCGGACUGGUGAGUAACGCGUGAGGAACCUGCCUUCCAGAGGGGGACAACAGUUGGAAACGACUGCUAAUACCGCAUGACGCAUGACCGGGGCAUCCCGGGCAUGUCAAAGAUUUUAUCGCUGGAAGAUGGCCUCGCGUCUGAUUAGCUAGAUGGUGGGGUAACGGCCCACCAUGGCGACGAUCAGUAGCCGGACUGAGAGGUUGACCGGCCACAUUGGGACUGAGAUACGGCCCAGACUCCCACGGGAGGCAGCAGUGGGGAAUAUUGGGCAAUGGACGCAAGUCUGACCCAGCAACGCCGCGUGAAGGAAGAAGGCUUUCGGGUUGUAAACUUCUUU